UUGUGCUGAGCAGCUCAUGGGCUUGCAUGGCAAAGGGGCGUCGUGGCUUUAGGCGCACGCGUCGUGGUGUCUCUGUGACGAUGUUAUGGAGGAGGUGGGAUUCACUGACUGCCGGCAACUUUGCAAAACUAGCAGGAAACUAGGAAGUACUGCCAACUUCACAGGAAUUCUGACAUGCAGAUAGGUUAUCUGACCUGGAUCAAAAGGUGAAACAGUUGGAUUCUACUGGAGAAGGUCACUGCACCAUCUGUUAUGAUUCUUUUUAAAAUGGAAUUUGUCAGUGUCAAUGUCACCUGCAUUUUUUUCUAGUUAUUAUUCUUGACAAAAAUAACUACAGAUACAAGUGUGUUUUUACACUACAGUUUGAAGGUAAGUGGUAGUUAGUAAACACAUGAACCUGAUUCAGUACCGAGCCAUGAAAAAAAAAUUAAGAAACCACCAUGUUUUCUUCAUGUCUUGUUUUAUUUUAAUGUCUGGUCCCACCUAAAGUGUAUCAAGUGACUAACUGACACAGUAGAAAACAUGGAAUGCCUAAAAGUCUCAUUUUUGGCAGUCAUAGCUAUGUAAGUUGAGAGUUUGUGAUGUUCAUUUGAUUAACAUGAAAGUCUUUCUCAAAUGUUUUGAUCGACUCUUAAAUUCAACUCUUAUGUUUUUGUUGUCAUUGAUAGAUUGGUCCAAACAAAUGUACCUUUUAGUUGUACUCGGCAUUUUGAAUGAAUAGGAAACUAAGGAAACAUGGUUGUAUUUCUGUCGGAGCAAAACAAAGUAAUCACAAUGGAAGCUUUUUAUAUUGUGGUUGUAUGUGUAUGAAGGAAUACUAUGAGAUUGUAGGCAUGAAGAGUUCUCAACUUGCCUAACUUGCGUCAACUGCUUUAAAACACAAUAUAGAGAAGAGCACUGUUAUCCUUCAUCACAUUCAGCUGGGUUCAUUUUCUCUUGACACUAGUGAUACUCUUUUGUAUACGACAGCUUUUAGUACAUCCAUUAUCUUAACCGCGCAUUCUCAUGGCAUAUGGAAAUGGGAUGGUACUGCCAGAAUAUCCUUCAGGAAAUGACAAAGACUUUUGCCAGGCAUCAUAACUAAUGAAUCAGUUAAAUGAUCAGUAAUAAUUCUAUAUUAUGAGCAAUUAAUUUUAGAAAGGUGGCACAGUGGUGCACUGGUGAGCACGUCCCCCACACAGUUCAGAGGUGCUGGGUUGAAUUCCGGCUUCGGCCUUCCUGUGUGGAGUUUGCAUGUUCUCCCUGUGCCUGCAUGGGUUGCCUCUGGGUGCACCGUUUUCUUCCCCCCUCACAUCCCAAAAACAAGCACGAGCGGCUGUUUGAAUGUGAGUGCAAAUGGUUGUUCGUCUAUGUGUGCCUUGCGAUUGGCUGGUGAUCAUCAGUUCAGGGUGUGCCCCACAUACUGCCUGAGGUCAGCAGGGAUCAGCUCCAGCGCGCCCGCGACCCUCAUGAGGAGAAGCGGUUCAGA